UUAAUUAAAAUGCGUAGUAUUACUUAUCACGAAGUUGGAGGAGCUAAUUAUUACAUAUUUUAGAUGUAAAUAUGUUGCAAAAUUAAGUAAGUAAUAAUUAGGAGUGACAGGCUUACCAUAUUCAACGAUAACUUGAUGGUUUACAAAGGUAUUUAGUAUAUAAACACCCUUGAAGUGAUAAGGUUUUAAGGGUAUAACAAAUGUCUUUCUUUCUUGAAAUAUAUUGUUUAAUAAUUAAUAUAGUAAUAAUAUAAUAUUAAUUUAUUGUUAUUGUUUAUAUUAUAAACCUAUUCUUAAAUAAUAUUUAAAUAUAUAUAAUGUUAAUAUCAGUACUAGAGAGUUGUAUAUAAUGAACUCGGCAAGAAGUCUUUCAACUGUUUAUCAAAAACAUAGCUGUGUGAAAUAAUACACGGUGUUUUCUGCUCAAUGAAUUUUAAAUAGCCGCAGUACCCUGACUGUGCUAAGGUAGCGCAAUCAAUUGACUUUUAAAUGAAGUCCGGUAUGAAAGAAAUUAUGGGGGGCUACUUUAUCAUUUACAAUUAAAGAAUUUAUUUAUGAAGUGCAAAUUCUUCUAUAUAAAUAAUAGACGAGAAGACCCUAGAAAUUUUAAAGAAUAACCUUUUUGUUGGGGCAACAAAGUAGUAUAAAAAUCUACUCUAAUGACAAGAAAGAUGUAUUUUGUAAGAUUAAAUUACUCUAGGGAUAACAGCAUAAUUUAUAAUAGUUUGUGACCUCGAUGUUGGAUUAGGGAAUUUACAUUUAGAAG
rnacentral:rRNA from 1 species